GGCGAGAUAGCUCAGUUGGUAGAGCAACGGACUGAAAAUCCGUGUGUCCCCAGUUCGAUUCUGGGUCUCGCCA
rnacentral:tRNA from 1 species